rnacentral:rRNA from 1 species
AACGUAGGACGCGAGCGUUAUCCGGAAUUACUGGGCGUAAAGCGCGCGCAGGCGGUCUGACAAGUCGGAUGUGAAAUCUCCGGGCUUAACCGGGAGAGGCCAUUGGAAACUGACAGGCUGGAGGGCAGUAGAGGUAGGCGGAAUUCCGGGUGGAGUGGUGAAAUGCGUAGAGAUCCGGAGGAACACCAGAGGCGAAGGCGGCCUACUGGGCUGCACCUGACGCUGAGCCGCGAAAGCCAGGGGAGCGAACGGG